rnacentral:rRNA from 1 species
CGAGGAGAGCAACAGGGAUUGCCCUAGUAACGGCGAGUGAAGCGGCAACAGCUCAAAUUUGAAAUCUGGCUUUCGGGCCCGAGUUGUAAUUUGUAGAGGAUACUUUUGAUGCGGUGCCUUCCGAGUUCCCUGGAACGGGACGCCAUAGAGGGUGAGAGCCCCGUCUGGUUGGAUGCCAAAUCUCUGUAAAGUUCCUUCGACGAGUCGAGUAGUUUGGGAAUGCUGCUCUAAAUGGGAGGUAUAUGUCUUCUAAAGCUAAAUAUUGGCCAGAGACCGAUAGCGCACAAGUAGAGUGAUCGAAAGAUGAAAAGCACUUUGAAAAGAGAGUUAAAAAGUACGUGAAAUUGUUGAAAGGGAAGCGUUUAUGACCAGACUUGGACUUGGUUAAUCAUCUGGGGUUCUCCCCAGUGCACUUUUCCAGUUCAGGCCAGCAUCAGUUUUCGCCGGGGGAUAAAGGCUUCGGGAAUGUAGCUCUCUUCGGGGAGUGUUAUAGCCCGUUGUGUAAUACCCUGGUGGAGACUGAGGUUCGCGCUUCUGCAAGGAUGCUGGCGUAAUGGUCAUCAACGACCCGUCUUGAAACACGGACCAAGGAGUCGUCUUCGUAUGCGAGUGUUCGGGUGUCAAACCCCUACGCGUAAUUAAAGUGAACGCAGGUGAGAGCUUCGGCGCAUCAUCGACCGAUCCUGAUGUUCUCGGAUGGAUUUGAGUAAGAGCAUACGGGGCCGGACCCGAAAGAAGGUGAACUAUGCCUGUAUAGGGUGAAGCCAGAGGAAACUCUGGUGGAGGCUCGCAGCGGUUCUGACGUGCAAAUCGAUCGUCAAAUAUGGGCAUGGGGGCGAAAGACUAAUCGACUCAGGG